UGCUGCCUGAAAGAAGUACACAGCUUCUCUUUUUCCAUCACUAACUCAUAAAUGGAAGGAGCAGGUAAUAAAUAUCAUGGGGCUGAUGGGUUUCCAGGGAGCCUGAGAAAGAGUGAAGGAGGCUGCCGGAAAGCCAGAGCAGUGUGUGAAUGAACCUUAAAACUGUGACCGCCUCCCCCUUGUGCAGCCACGGGAGUAGGAUGACCCCCAGUUGACUGAGAAAGCGCACGUCACCAGAGGCAGCAAUGAGCCCCACCACCUGGCACCACCGCUAAUGGCUUUGGCUUCGGCAGAGAGCGGUGUCAGGGCUGCAGACGGAGCACAGAUGGGAGUGGCAUCCUACAAGAUCCCCAGCUCAGCGCUCACUUUUGUAGUGAAGACAUGCUUUAAAAUCAUCGAGUGUGCCUGCCUUUGAGAUUUGCAAGAGGAAGCAAAGAGCACGUUAAUGAAACUUGGGAGGAAACUGAAUUUAGAGCUGCUGCAAACACAGAAGUAAUGAAAGCAAACAUAAAGAUGUUAGAAGUGUGGUCAGGAAAUUAAAAAAAAAAGAGCUACAGCUUGGAAAAUAGUACAGAUUUUGAACAUUCGCAAAGACUGAUUUGCUCCAGGACUGUCUAGAACCACAUUCCCAGAAGUGUAUUCUGGGAGCAUUAGUCCUACCAGAUGCUCUACCAAAUAAAGGACUCUUGGCCAAGCAAGAUUUAGGAGUGUUGCUUACUCUGCCCUUUCCUAGUGAAAUUGCCUUUGCAAAGAUUAUGACAGUGAGAGAAAUCUCAC
rnacentral:lncRNA from 1 species